GCGGAUGUGGCGGAAUUGGUAUACGCGCACGCUUGAGGUGCGUGUGGCUUAGUCCUUGGGAGUUCGAGUCUCCCCAUCCGCAUCA
rnacentral:tRNA from 1 species